AGUUUGAUCCUGGCUCAGAUUGAACGCUGGCGGCAUGCUUUACACAUGCAAGUCGAACGGCAGCGGGGGUGCUCGCACCUGCCGGCGAGUGGCGAACGGGUGAGUAAUGUAUCGGAACGUGCCUGAUAGUGGGGGAUAGCUCGGCGAAAGCCGGAUUAAUACCGCAUAAUAUCUACGGAAGAAAGCAGGGGACCUUUUAGGCCUUGCGCUACCAGAGCGGCCGAUAUCAGAUUAGGUAGUUGGUGGGGUAAGAGCCUACCAAGCCUGCGAUCUGUAGCUGGUUUGAGAGGAUGACCAGCCACACUGGGACUGAGACACGGCCCAGACUCCUACGGGAGGCAGCAGUGGGGAAUUUUGGACAAUGGGGGCAACCCUGAUCCAGCGAUGCCGCGUGCAGGAAGAAGGCCUUCGGGUUGUAAACUGCUUUUGUCAGGGAAGAAAUAUCGGGUGCUAAUAUCACCUGGAGAUGACGGUACCUGAAGAAUAAGCACCGGCUAACUACGUGCCAGCAGCCGCGGUAAUACGUAGGGUGCGAGCGUUAAUCGGAAUUACUGGGCGUAAAGGGUGCGCAGGCGGUAUUGUGUGACUGAUGUGAAAUCCCCGGGCUUAACCUGGGAACUGCAUUGGUAACUGCAAUGCUUGAGUACGGUAGAGGGGGGUAGAAUUUUGCGUGUAGCAGUGAAAUGCGUAGAUAUGCAAAGGAAUACCGAUGGCGAAGGCAGCCCCCUGGACCUGUACUGACGCUCAUGCACGAAAGCGUGGGGAGCACCAGGAUUAGAUACCCUGGUAGUCCA
rnacentral:rRNA from 1 species